AUGGCGAUCGCUGUCAGAAAGGUUCAGCUUCGCAGAUUUGGCCACAUUAGCGGCAGCGAGUUGGUUUAGGGCAACAGCUGUUGUCAGGACAGGUUUCCAGAGCGACCGGACGUGAAGCAGUUCCAGCCAAGCCCAGUUGGUGAGCUGGAGUCAGUGCUGGUGGAAAGGAGUGCUGAGGAUUCCGUUUCCGAGACGCUGGAAGGCUGUGCCUGACCACUUAACGGUUCAGCUUACGCGGAGCAGUCUGUGCGUCUCACACACCCAGAAGUGAAAACACCUCAUAAUUUCACACACCAGUUAGGCCCAGAGCUGCAGAAGUGACUUCCAGUCCUGGAGCUGCUGGAGUGACCUAGUGAUUGGCUAGGUGUACCCUGAACUGCAGAAGAUGUAUACUGGGCCAGAAGCAGACCUUCUUCCUGCGGACUUGGAAGGAGCUGAUGACAAAGGCCUGCCAGCAGUGCUGAGACUGGUCUGGCACUGAGCAGGCACACAAUAAAUGUUUUUCAGUUGAGCUGAAAAUGUAGACAUGGUAACAGAUGAGAAAACACACAACAACAACAACAACAACAACAACAACAACAGCACCCAACAUAAGCCCAACGCAGAGAAAACACAAUAAAGAAUGAAGGUUGGAGGAAGAUUUAAAACCUUGAGGAGAAUUCUCCAGUUCACUGACUGCUCCAGAAUAAGUCAUUUAGGACAGACCUGAACUACCUGACAUUUUGAGGACAAACCCAGCUAAGCACAGCAGAAAUCAGCUAACCCUCAACUGAUCUACAGACUUGACUUGUGCCAACACGUACAAGGAAUCAAAGAAGCACUUAUAGAUUGAAUGAACAAUGACCAUUAGAAAAUAUUUCCAGGAAUCAAGACUCGAGAGGCAAAGAGAAAACAAGGCUGGAAUAGCCAAGAAUGGACAUGAGUUCCAGGAAUGAAUGUCAUGCAAGGUCCUACCAUCCAACUUAGGCAGAGAAGACAACCACGCAGACCAUGGGACUGACCCAGCAUCUCUCAUUUUCACAGAUGGAUGGUGACACUUCAAAGUGCUGGAAGAUUUGGUGAAAAAUUCACUGGGUAUCCUUAACAGCCUGAAAGAAUUAUAGAAUCACAAAAGUUUACACCUCGAAGGGAAUUUAGAUCUCCUAGAGUCCACCCAGCAUGUUGUGAAAAUGAGAAACUGAAGCUCAUAACAGUUACCAGAUUCACUCAGUGUUGCUCCAGUGGUAAGAACAGAGCUAUGACUGGAACUCAAGUCUCCCGACUCCAAAUCAGUACCUCCAUCAUCAGUGUUGACUUGUUUCUCAAGCAAGGCACCUCGCUAAAGACCAAACUCACACCUAAGGCUGGAGCACCAAUGUGAGUUCUCUAACAUGUGUAAGAUUCCCAAGAAGUUCUCUGCGUAUCAGGAGGGAGGAAAAAAAGAAUGAAGAAGUUUGCCCUAGCAAACAGAUCUUCAAUGAACUGUCAGGAAAGCAGAAUCAAAGAAGAAAAAAGAAGUGAUUUUGGGUACCAGAUUGUUAAACUUAUCUCCAAGGUUGUUUAAAAAAAAAAAAAAAGUUAAUUGACAAAAAGGCUUAAUCUGUUUAAGCCCACUGCUCGUAAGUCAAUUCAUCAUUAUUUAAAGACCUACUGCAUUUUUUAAGAGCUGAGGUACAGAACUUCAAGGAGAUAAAAUCCUAAUCAGAGGCUCUGUUCUCAAAGAACUAAAAUGUCAAAAAUCCUACGUCAAACAUCACUGUCAUCUGAUGCAAGGAGCCUCCCUCACUCCCAGAGCAUAAAUGAAUGUGUUAAAGAGGUUGGCAGUCAGCUCGCGUUCUUCCUCUCCACCCACAUUACUGCAUUCGUACUGAACUAUUUCAGUGUCCCUGUGUGUGAUCCAUUCAUUUAACAUUGUAGCCUCUUGGUUCCCUGACUGACAUAUUUGUUGAAUUUCAUCAAUUCACUCUCAUGCACAUAUCCUAGUCCAAAGCUUCGCAGACUUUAAUGUGCAUACAGUUCAUCUGGGAAUCUUGUUCAAAUACAGAUUCUGACUCAGUAGGCCAGAGGGAUGGGGCACUAAGACUCCUCAUUUCUUCCAUCUCCCAGGUGAUGCUGAUGCCACUGGUCCACAGCCCGCCCUUUGAGUAGCAAGACCUUGGAUCUUACCAUACCCUGGAACUCCAACAUUUUCAAAAUCCUUGAGAAACUCUUUUUGACUACAAUCUCUUACUUUUUCCUUCCUCUUUGUGCAGAACAAGUUCUUUGAACUCAAGCUCCCAUCCUCCUUAAUACUCACAAGAUGCUUGGUCCAGCAGAGCACAGAACAGAGCAGUUCUGAAUGAAAGGGUGAGGCAGGUAGACACAGUGUUAUUCAGGCAGAGGUGCCGGGGGAAAUUGGAACUGGGGGCCUGCCACUCAGAGAGAGCUUUGGAGUUGGAGAUAGAAAUGUAGGUGUUACCCACAUAGAGAUGAACAUCCUACCCAGAAGAGUGGAUGUGCUGCCCAGAAAGUGUUUAGAGAAAAAGGGGCCAAGGGAUGAACUUGGGAAACACUAAUAUUUGUGAAGCAAGUGGAAAAGAGGAGUCAUGAAAGAAGACCAGGAAGGGCUGCAAUGUACACAGAGAACUUAGAGACGGUGGUGUCUUGGCAGCCAAGGGAAGAGCAAAUUUCAAAAAAGAGAGAGACCUUUCCAAACUCCUCCACUAAAAAUCCCCCCAUUCAAGCCUGGUUAUUUUGCUCACUCUUCCCUAAAUGUGUCUAAUGCAUUCCUCCUUCUAGGCUGGGAUUCCCUAUACCAGUCUCUCUGAGGAGGCUCUUCAGUACCCAUCUCUUCUUACCCAUCCUUCGAGAGCCACCCACACAGGUGCUGAAUUGUCCUCCCAGGACACCAUGCCUUGCCCAGAGGAGGGGCUCGAUUAAAGUCUUUGGCACACAAGGUGGCAUGCCCAGGGGUCAUCGAUUGUAGUUUUCAUGCCCAUCAAUUGACAUUUAUUGAACCACUACCUUGGGCUCCUCCACCACAUCCACCUACACGGACAGCAUCAUCAAUGGCCAGGCCUUAUGGACCAGAAAUCUGCCCCAAGAGGUUAAAAACCUGCGGCUGCUGUCAGCAUCAAACCCCAGAGUCCUCUGUCCAUGUAGUGGCCAACGAAGCUGGCAGGGGCCUGCCAGCCACCCUUCUUGCAAGCUGGAAGGCUGAACACAUGGGCAUCCCUUUCUGGUUCCUGUCAAAUUAUGUGAAUUGCAGUCAUUUUGCCUCUGCUCUCUUAGGAAAAUGCAAAGCUUCAUGGAAGGGCGUUCACGUUCUCAAAGGACCACACUGCUCUAGCCACAGGGUGGCCGGACUAAAGAAAUGUUUCCUGAGCAGAGAUCUCUUGUAGAAAAACUAAAUUCUGGCAUUUGAAAGACUCACUCAUCUCCGCUUGACAACAAAAUGUCACCUUUAUUAGAUUUAUUUACUUUAAGCCUUCCUUUUCCAGGUUCCUCCUUGAAAUGAAAUAUCUAAUUUCAGUAAAGCUAAUCUACUGAACCCCUGGUAUCUUUGUGUAAAGGAGUUCUUCACCAAGUGGAGAAAGAGGAUGCCAAGGUCCUGAGGCUCCCGGAGCACAGAGGCGUUGGAAGGGAGGGGAAAGGCAGAAAGAAGAAAUCUGAGCUGUCCUCCUCUACAGUUUUGUCCCCUGCUCCUCACUUACACUAAGGGCAUCAUUGUUACAGCUGCUGUAUGUUCCUUCUGCAAGCUGAACUGGUAAUGUGCCUGCCCACCGGCCAGAUCUGAAAUGACCUGACUCCUCUAGAAAGAAUGAUGGUGCCUCCAUUGUAAAGAGUUGGGCCAAAUGCGUGAAAUGCCCUUCUGCUCCAUUCAGUGGCAACUCAGGAAGAAAAACAAAGUAAAACAGCUAGGCCUUUUGAUUGUGAAAUGUAUUUCCACACCGCUUUGCUAUUUCAGUCGUGCAUAUUUGGGUAUAUUGUCACUAUUAUUGCAAAAUAUCUUUCGAACUGAAAUUACAUCACUGAGCAUAAUGGAAAAAAAAAAACAAAACAAAAGACAGUGAUUAUCUUGUGAAAGGUCAAAAUGACGUCUGUCGCCUGGAAAAAUCAUUUCUCAUAGGUGCUGUGGCCCUUCCUUGAACAUUUUCCGACUGCACCAGUUUGACAGCAUUUUUGCAGUUAGUAAGUCCACACCUGCCAAUAUGUGCAAAUAACAAGUAAAUGGAUACUUAAUUACAAUCAAAUGAAAAUACUUUAACCAGGAGAUUCCCAAGGUUUUUGUUUGUUUGUUUGUUUUUUAAUUUUCUAAUAUAGCACAACUAAAGCUAUUUAAAAGUUACAGGAAUAAAAAAAUUUAAAGCACUUUUCCCUUUCAUGGCAGAAAAUAAAAGUGAUGUAUUUUUUUUUAGAUUUCAGUACAUCUACAUUUAAAUGUGUUUUGAAAGCCAACUGAUAUUUCUUUAGCUAGAGAAAAAAAAAAAAGGAUGGCUUUAAUAAGCCAUUCCUCUUGCAGUCUUUAUUCCACUUGAUUACA